CGAAACGAUAUCUCUCAGAUGGACUCGAUUUUUCUGUAAAAUUACGGAAAAAAUCAAAUUUUCGAAAGUUCUGCUAUAUUUUGGUUAUA
ensembl:snoRNA Y32G9A.15 ncRNA